CGCGUAGGCGGUUUGAUAAGUCAGAUGUGAAAGCCCACGGCUUAACUGUGGAAGUGCAUUUGAUACUGUCAGACUUGAGUACCAGAGGGGAAAGUGGAAUUCCCGGUGUAGAGGUGAAAUUCGUAGAUAUCGGGAGGAAUACCGGUGGCGAAGGCGACUUUCUGGCUGGAUACUGACGCUGAGGCGCGAAAGCGUGGGGAGGCAAACAG
rnacentral:rRNA from 1 species